AGUAAUUACCUACCCUUUUUGCUUCAAAGUGACUUUUUAAAAAAUCAGGUGCUAUACAUAUAUAUAAGGAUUCCUGGUACCAAGAAUUAACCAAUCAGACACAAACUUAUUAUGCAACAUGACCAAUAAAAUGCAACACUAUUAAAUGGCCUGUAUAUUUAUGGUUCAAGACAGGGCAUUAACAGUGGUUGGCUAUUUUUCUGUUGUGAAUACCCCAAUGAAUAAUAUGCUCAAGGAAAAGUUAAACUAAGUGUCUAUUCAAGUGUCUUACCAUUUCUUUUUUAAAAUUCUUAUCCAAGGAUAUUUCUAUUGAUUUUAGAGAGAGAAGAGGGGGAAUGAGGGUGCGGGGGGAGAGAGAGAGAAACACUCAUCAGUCACCUCCUGUACAGUACAUGCCCUGACAAGCCGCGGUCAACCCCCAACCCAGUGAUUCAUUGUGAGAGUUCAACUAGGAAAAUUGGGGUGAAGGAGCAGGAUAGCAUGGUGGGAAAAGCUAAGCAAGAAUGUGCUCACAGCUAGAGAUUAGCUCCAGCUUGAUCCCAUAGGGAGCUCAGGAGGAUGAAUCACUCCACACAUUGGUUGUACCUAAGGAGAGGCAGCCAGUUUCCAGGCCAAAGAGGUAACCUCCAGAUGAAGCUGGCUUUAUUUAGCCCAAGUUAAAAUGUUGGUUAUUUAGUAAGCUUUGGCAGUUUAUGUCUUUUAAACAAUAUGUUCAUUUCAUUUUUGUUGUCAAACUUGUUGAAAAUAAGCUAGUCAUAAUAAUGCCUUAUUUUUUGAUGUUUGCAGCAUAUGUAGUUACAUUACCUCUUACAUCCUGGUAUUGUCAAUUACUAUCUUCUCUCCCUUUCUUUUAUGUAUUUUGAUCAAUUGGAUAUUAUCAACUAUACUGAACUUUUCAAAGGACCAGUUUUGGCUUCAUUUUGCCAUUGUUUCUCUGUUUUCAAUUUCACUGAUUUCUGCUCUUAUCUUUACUAUUUUCUUCUUUCUGCUUCCUUUUGGUUUAAUUUGCUCUUAUUUUCCUAAAGUAGAAGCUUAGAUUAUUGACUCAAGGCAUUCCUUGUUUCUAAAAGAAACAGUUUCUCAAAUUUCCCUGAAUGCCACAAAUUCUGAUAUGCUGUGUUUUCAUUUUCAGUCAAUUAAAAAUAUUUCUAACUUCCCUUGUGACUUCAUCUAUUAUCCACAGGGCUAUUUCAACUGUGGUCAGAAAAUAUACAUUGCAUUAUUUCAAUUGAGAUCAAAUAUGUACAUCAUAUCAAUAAAUGUAAAUGGGCUCGAUUUACUUAUCAAAAGAAAAAGAUUUUCAGAUUUCAGGAUAAAGUGAAGGUCAAUAUAUGCUUUAUUUAAGAGACAUGCCCAAAAUUAUGUGAACCAGAGAGCCUAAAAAUAAAACAAUGGACAAAGACCUAGCAGACAAAUAUAAACAAUAAGAAAGCAAGGUAUAUGAUCCUAAUAUCAGACAAAGUAGAAUUCAUGCCAAAAACACUAAAUAAAACAAAGAAGGAUACUUUAUAUGCUUAAUUCAUUAAAUUAACUUAAUGAAAUAUAAAAGUUGUGAAUUAUAUGAACCAACUAACACCACAACUUCAUAAAUAAUUUACCUUCAUAAAUUCAUACCUAAAAGAGGUGCUAGAAAAAAGUAGACAGAAACACACUGAUUGUGCAAAUCUAUAACAUAUGAUGAUUAAUCCAACACAUGUCAAUUGUAACAAAAGGUGAAAGAAUAAAAAGUCCUAAAACA